CACGGCUUCCAAAAGCUGAGCAACCCGCAGACCCGCGAAGGUAAUUGCUCACACACAGAGAGAAAUAAUUCCUCUCUCCCGCGUCUCUGACUCCUCCUGGACCAACCCAGAGAGCUUGAGGGCAGCCAGCUGCUGCGCUUCUUCAGAGGGUCGGCUCCCGGCUUGCCCACCCGCCGGGCAAAGCGCAGCGCUCCGCAGUGUUACAGCAUGACUCUCUGGGAUGGCGAGCUGCCUUUCUAUCCCCAGCCCCGGCAUGCCGCCGGCAUCAGCGUCCCGCUGCUCAUUGUCAUUGUGGUGUUCUUGGCCUUGGCGGUCAGCUUCUUGCUCAUCUUGCCGGGGAUUCGUGGCCACUCGCGCUGGUUCUGGUUGGUGAGAGUUCUCCUCAGUCUGUUCAUAGGUGCAGAAAUCGUGGCCGUGCACUUCAGUGCAGAAUGGUCAGUGGGUAGAGUGAAUACCAACACAUCCUACAAAGCUUUCAGUGCAGCCCGCGUCCGAGCCCACGUCGGUCUGCACGUGGGCCUAGAGGGAAUUAAUAUUACACUCACAGGGAUCCCAGUGCAGCAGCUGAAUGAGACCAUCGACUACAACGAGCAGUUCAGCUGGCGUCUGGGUGAGAACUAUGCGGAGGAGUACACGGAGGCUCUGGAGAAAGGGCUGCCUGACCCAGUUCUCUACCUGGCGGAGAAGUUCACUCCGAGCAGCCCUUGCGGGCUCUACCGCCAGUACCGCCUGGCCGGACACUACGCUUCAGCCACACUGUGGGUGGCGUUCUGCCUCUGGCUCCUCUCCAACGCGCUGCUCUCCAUGCCGGUCCCUCUCUACGGAGGCCUGGCGCUCCUGGCCACCGGCGCCUUCUCGCUCUUCUCCGUCUUGGCCUUCGCCUCCAUCUCCAGUGUGCCGCUCUGCCCGCUUCGCUUCGGCUCCUCCGCGCUCAGCAGUCACUACGGUGCAGCCUUUUGGGUCACGCUGGCUACCGGUGUUCUGUGCCUCUUCCUUGGAGCGGCCGUGGUGAGUCUCCACUACGCUCGUCCCAGCGCUCUUCGAACCUUCUUGGACCAAAGCGUCCAGAACUGCGGUAACCAAGCGAGAGAGGGCUCGCCUCUCAACUUCAGCAACCCAGUACACAAGCAGCCCGGGGCCUCGGACUUAAUCAUCAGUACUAACCUAUGAAGGGAUCUCAAUCUUGGACUCCUCCUCCUCCUCGGUCCCCGGCAGUCUGGAGCAGUGCCCGCCAGACCUGGGCCGGGAGAGCUCAGGGAGAGGCUGUGCGCAGCAGGAGCCCAGGGAAAGAUUUUUUUCUCCGUUAAUUUCCGUGGCUUCUCAAGGCUCUUGGGGGACAUGCGUCCUCGGGAGACUUCUCUGGGCUGGUGGCAGCCAUACAACGUUCUCUUUCCCUGCCUUGUCCCGAACUGGGAUUC